rnacentral:rRNA from 1 species
ACUAUCCGCCUGGGUACUACGAGCUUUAGCUUAAAACCCAAAGGACUUGGCGGUGCUUAAGAUCCACCUAGAGGAGCCUGUUCUAUAACCGAUAAUCCCCGUUUAACCUCACUCUUUCUUGUUCACCGCCUAUAUACCGCCGUGGCAGCUCACCCUGUGAAGGCCCUGUAGUAAGCAAAUUGGUAUGACCCAAAACGCAGGUCGAGGUGUAGCGUG